AUUGAACGCUGGCGGAAUGCUUUACACAUGCAAGUCGAACGGUAGAGGGGGCAACCCCUCGAGAGUGGCGAACGGGUGAGUAAUAUAUCGGAACGUGCCCAGUCGUGGGGGAUAACGUAGCGAAAGUUACGCUAAUACCGCAUACGAUCUAAGGAUGAAAGCGGGGGAUCGCAAGACCUCGCGCGAUUGGAGCGACCGAUAUCAGAUUAGGUAGUUGGUGGGGUAAAGGCUCACCAAGCCAACGAUCUGUAGCUGGUCUGAGAGGACGACCAGCCACACUGGAACUGAGACACGGUCCAGACUCCUACGGGAGGCAGCAGUGGGGAAUUUUGGACAAUGGACGCAAGUCUGAUCCAGCCAUUCCGCGUGCAGGAUGAAGGCCCUCGGGUUGUAAGCUGCUUUUGUACGGAACGAAAAGGUCUCUCUUAAUACGGGGGGCUCAUGACGGUACCGUAAGAAUAAGCACCGGCUAACUACGUGCCAGCCGCCGCGGUAA
rnacentral:rRNA from 1 species